rnacentral:rRNA from 1 species
UGGGGAAUUUUGCACAAUGGGGGAAACCCUGAUGCAGCGACGCCGCGUGAUUUAGAAGGCCUUCGGGUUGUAAAAAUCUUUUCUAUGGGAAGAAAAUGACAGUACCAUAGGAAUAAGGACCGGCUAAUUACGUGCCAGCAGCCGCGGUAAUACGUAAGGUCCGAGCGUUGUCCGGAAUCAUUGGGCGUAAAGGGUACGUAGGCGGGUAAGCAAGUUAGAACUGAAAUCCUAUAGCUCAACUAUAGUAAGCUUUUAAAAAUGCUCAUCUUGAGGUAUGGAAGGGAAAGUGGAAUUCCUAGUGUAGCGGUGAAAUGCGCAGAUAUUAGGAGGAAUACCGGUGGCGAAGGCGACUUUCUGGCCAUAACCUGACGCUGAGGUACGAAAGCGUGGGUAGCAAACAGG